UAGGGACUCUUCCGCAAUGGACGAAAGUCUGACGGAGCAACGCCGCGUGAGUGAAGAAGGAUUUCGGUUCGUAAAACUCUGUUGUUAGGGAAGACAAAAUGUAUAGUAACUAUAUACAAAAGAGACGGUACCUAACCAGAAAGCCACGGCUAACUACGUGCCAGCAGCCGCGGUAAUACGUAGGGAGCAAGCGUUGUCCGGAAUUAUUGGGCGUAAAGCGCGCGCAGGUGGUUUAGAAAGUCUGAUGUGAAAGCCCACGACUCAACCGUGGAGGGUCAUUGGAAACUCAUAAACUUGAGUGCAGGAGAGAAAAGUGGAGUUCCUAGUGUAGCGGUGAAAUGCGUAGAGAGUAGGAGGAACGCCGGUGGCGAAAGCGGCUUUUUGGCCUGCAACUGACACUGAGGCUCGAAAGCGUGGUGAGCAAACAGG
rnacentral:rRNA from 1 species